rnacentral:rRNA from 1 species
AAUGAACGUUGGCGGCGUGGAUUAGGCAUGCAAGUCGUACGGGUCGGUGUAGCAAUACAACGGCAAGUGGCGAAAGGGAGAGUAACACGUUGAUACCUACCCUCUGGUCGGGGAUACCGCGGCAUAACCGCAAGUAAUACCCGAUAAAAUCUCCGGAUCAAAGGUGUGAUUCCGCCGGAGGAGGGGUCUGCGUUCUAUCAGCUUGUUGGUGAGGUAAUGGCUCACCAAGGCUAAGACGGAUACGGGGUGUGAGAGCAUGCCCCCGCUCACUGGGACUGAGACACUGCCCAGACACCUACGGGUGGCUGCAGUCGAGAAUCUUCGGCAAUGGGCGCAAGCCUGACCGAGCGACGCCGCGUGCGGGAUGAAGGCCUUCGGGUUGUAAACCGCUGUCGAGGGGAAUGAAGUGUAGGUGGGUACUCCCAUCUAUUUGACAGAUCCCUGGAGGAAGCAUGGGCUAAGUUCGUGCCAGCCGCCGCCGUAAAAC